AAGCCAACGCGAGCGUGCGCAGUUGCGCUGUGCGCGGCGCAUGCUAAUGAGCCUCCCGCCUUCCUAAGGUGACCUUCCCAGAAGGGAGCGGAGUCGGAGAGGGGGAGUGUUGGGAUGGCUGGGGCUGAGAGGACGGCAGGGAGGAGCCGUCCGAUCGGGAGUUCAGUCCGUAUUUAGCCCCCUUUUCUUCCUGAAAAUUUGUCAGUAGUAUCACUCAUCUCUUAGUGAUGAGCUUAGUGGCUUUGGUCAGACAUUUGUCAGACACGGUGUUGUUUGCCCGAGACUGUCCUGGUUUCAGCACGGCUUACUUAGCCAUUUAGCGGCAGAAUCCAUUGCUUGAACACCUGCUAUACGCCUAGCGUUAGGAUCCAUCAUCUCACUUAAGACCCAAAACAGUCUUACGGGAGAGGUCUGUGCAUGAAGUCUCCACUUUGGGCAUCUCAGCUGCUUUCCCCAACCUCUCCGUGGCUCAUCCCAGGACCAGCCUCCCUCUGGAGGCUUGAUGACCUCAGUCUUCCGAGUCACAUGGUCUCCUGGGUCACCUGGGGCGUUUAUGCAGGUCACCUUGGAAAGAGCCAUCUGAGGCCAGCAGAAGUGAGACCUUGAUUUAUGGAGGGGCUCCUGGUGCCAAUGGGCCCACGCGCCCUGCAGUCACAUCGUUCCUGGGCUUCAUGGGGAUUUGGGGAGCUCAGAGUUAUGGAGGAACAAAUUCCUGGGCGGCUGCACCUCCGCCCUGAACUUUGGGAUUCCAGAAAGGCACAGCUGCACGGCUUAGAGGUUUUCAUGGCCAGCUCCUGACAGAUCUUCCCAAGGUGUCCUCGUGGUGAGAACCAAGGUUUUUUUCUUUGUCAGUUUCCAUUUGUCUAGCGAGUGAAGUAUGGCUUUUCAACACUUGGCUAGUCACUUUAAGUUUAUGCGGAACCUCAUCGCUUAUAAAUGUGUUUACAUAAACAGUCUGCUUCGUCCUCAUAACAACCCUUCCAGUUGGAAUAACUCCUCCCCCCUCCCCCACCCCCAUUUUACAGACUUUCUUAGUCUUUGGGUAAUGAGAAAGGUGAGCAAUCUGGGGUGAGAAUCUUGCUUCAGGAGUGCUUUCUUUCCCAAGGGCUGGAAAUCCACUCGAGAGUUAAAAAUUAAACCCCAAGAGCAUUGUGUUGUAUCCAC